CCCCCCCCAAGCAAUGAUUCUGGAAUGUCCCUAGAGAUAGAAGAGGUCACCUACCCUCCUCCCAGGAAUUACCCUAAUGUGCUUUAAAUUGGGCUGCGAGCUCACUAGGGAUCUCCAUUGUGAUAAUGGGAGACCCCAGCAUGUUGGACUUCUGAGUCCGGGGUUCCACGUGCCCCACAGGCAUGUGCUCAGGCUCUCCUUCUAGCUCCUCCCUUUUCUCUGCCCUCGUGGCUCGGCCCCCAUCUGUCUGUCUGCCUGUCUACACACCCACUAGUCUGCCUCUACCCCUUCCCCAGGUCCUCGGUCCUCUCCCCUAACAAGCCCCCUUUAGAGCAGAUCUGUUGCAUGGCGUGAUUUUCCAGGGGCACACCUUGGCAUGGGCAGGGACCCCUCUACCAUACUUCUCACAGGUCUGAGCCACAUUCCAGGACCCUAUCUGUUUCCAGCCUGCCACCACCUGCAGCAGAUCUCCUUUCUGGUCCACGGGCCACUCAGCACCCCAUCCACAGUGAAACUUGAAAAAGCCUGUUCAUCUUCUGGGCCUGAUGGACAAAGAUUGCCUUUGCCUGUGAUGUCAUGGAUACC
rnacentral:lncRNA from 1 species